rnacentral:rRNA from 1 species
UUNNGAGUUUGAUCCUGGCUCAGAUUGAACGCUGGCGGCAGGCCUAACACAUGCAAGUCGAACGGUAGCACAGAGAGCUUGCUCUCGGGUGACGAGUGGCGGACGGGUGAGUAAUGUCUGGGAAACUGCCUGAUGGAGGGGGAUAACUACUGGAAACGGUAGCUAAUACCGCAUAACGUCGCAAGACCAAAGAGGGGGACCUUCGGGCCUCUUGCCAUCAGAUGUGCCCAGAUGGGAUUAGCUAGUAGGUGGGGUAACGGCUCACCUAGGCGACGAUCCCUAGCUGGUCUGAGAGGAUGACCAGCCACACUGGAACUGAGACACGGUCCAGACUCCUACGGGAGGCAGCAGUGGGGAAUAUUGCACAAUGGGCGCAAGCCUGAUGCAGCCAUGCCGCGUGUAUGAAGAAGGCCUUCGGGUUGUAAAGUACUUUCAGCGGGGAGGAAGGNNNUAAGGUUAAUAACCUUGUUGAUUGACGUUACCCGCAGAAGAAGCACCGGCUAACUCCGUGCCAGCAGCCGCGGUAAUACGGAGGGUGCAAGCGUUAAUCGGAAUUACUGGGCGUAAAGCGCACGCAGGCGGUCUGUCAAGUCGGAUGUGAAAUCCCCGGGCUCAACCUGGGAACUGCAUUCGAAACUGGCAGGCUGGAGUCUUGUAGAGGGGGGUAGAAUUCCAGGUGUAGCGGUGAAAUGCGUAGAGAUCUGGAGGAAUACCGGUGGCGAAGGCGGCCCCNUGACAAAAG